GACGAACGCUGGCGGCGUGCCUAAUACAUGCCAGUCGAACGCUUCUUUCCUCCCGAGUGCUUGCACUCAAUUGGAAAGAGGAGUGGCGGACGGGUGAGUAACACGUGGGUAACCUACCCAUCAGAGGGGGAUAACACUUGGAAACAGGUGCUAAUACCGCAUAACAGUUUAUGCCGCAUGGCAUAAGAGUGAAAGGCGCUUUCGGGUGUCGCUGAUGGAUGGACCCGCGGUGCAUUAGCUAGUUGGUGAGGUAACGGCCCACCAAGGCCACGAUGCAUAGCCGACCUGAGAGGGUGAUCGGCCACACUGGGACUGAGACACGGCCCAGACUCCUACGGGAGGCAGCAGUAGGGAAUCUUCGGCAAUGGACGAAAGUCUGACCGAGCAACGCCGCGUGAGUGAAGAAGGUUUUCGGAUCGUAAAACUCUGUUGUUAGAGAAGAACAAGGACGUUAGUAACUGAACGUCCCCUGACGGUAUCUAACCAGAAAGCCACGGCUAACUACGUG
rnacentral:rRNA from 1 species